UCCUAUAGGCCAUGGGUUUUUUGCUCACCCCACAGGCAGGCAGCUGAGCCCUUGGACUGCAUUUUAACGAGGAGUCCACCUGUUAUAGCGGGAGAAGUGGAGGAAAAGCCCAAGUUGGAAACCCCUGAAACUUGAGCUUGAAUAGCAGCGACCUAGUGUUUAACCGAGAAACCAGAAUUCUUUUCUAUGUCAUGGAGCUGAACAACUAGGUGGGCCAGAAGAAUAAAAUUCCAUCUAAAAAAAUAUUUUAAAAUGGCUCACUUGAGGCUUGGAGUUCAGGAAGGACCAGUAGGCAGUCAGAACAGGUGGAAGACCCUGAGCUUCAGAGAACAAGUCUCAAGCACCUUACAAUCCUGGGCAGAUGGGACUGCCAACCUGUGCACCAUUUCCCAAGGAACGCACAUCACCUCUUGCAUGCUGAGUACUCAUCCUGCCCCACAAAAGGCUCCUACAGGACAGCUGGAUGAGGCUUUGUACUGCAUGAUCAAAUGUGACUGGAGGGCUCCAAGCAGCUUACAAACAAUCAUUAAAACUGGAAAAG